UGGGGAAUCUUGCGCAAUGGGCGAAAGCCUGACGCAGCAACGCCGCGUGCGGGAUGAAGGCCUUCGGGCUGUAAACCGCUUUCAGCAGGAACGAAAAUGACGGUACCUGCAGAAGAAGGAGCGGCCAACUACGUGCCAGCAGCCGCGGUGACACGUAGGCUCCAAGCGUUGUCCGGAUUUAUUGGGCGUAAAGAGCUCGUAGGCGGUUGAGUAAGUCGGGUGUGAAAACUCUGGGCUUAACCCGGAGACGCCAUCCGAUACUGCUCUGACUUGAGUUCAGGAGGGGAGUGGGGAAUUCCUAGUGUAGCGGUGAAAUGCGCAGAUAUUAGGAGGAACACCGGUGGCGAAGGCGCCACUCUGGACUGAAACUGACGCUGAGGAGCGAAAGCAUGGGUAGCAA
rnacentral:rRNA from 1 species